UACGGAGGGAGCUAGCGUUGUUCGGAAUUACUGGGCGUAAAGCGCACGUAGGCGGCUUUGUAAGUUAGAGGUGAAAGCCCGGAGAUCAACUCCGGAACUGCCUUUAAGACUGCAUCGCUUGAAUCCAGGAGAGGUGAGUGGAAUUCCGAGUGUAGAGGUGAAAUUCGUAGAUAUUCGGAAGGAACACCAGUGGCGAAGGCGGCUCACUGGACUGGUAUU
rnacentral:rRNA from 1 species